GCGCCUUUAGCUCAGUUGGUAGAGCAACUAACUCUUAAUCAGUGGGUCUUUCGGUUCGAAUCCGUGAAGGCGCACCA
rnacentral:tRNA from 2 species